rnacentral:rRNA from 1 species
AAUCAACGCUGGCGGCGUGCCUCAGACAUGCAAGUCGAACGAUUAAAGCUCUCUUCGGAGAGUGCAUAGAGUGGCGCACGGGUGAGUAACACGUAAGUAAUCUACCUUCGAGUGGGGAAUAACGUCCGGAAACGGACGCUAAUACCGCAUAAUGCAGCGGCAUCGCAAGAUGACAGUUGUUAAAGGAGCAAUUCGCUUGAAGAGGAGCUUGCGGCAGAUUAGCUUGUUGGUAAGGUAACGGCUUACCAAGGCUACGAUCUGUAACCGGUCUAAGAGGACGGUCGGUCACACUGACACUGAAUAACGGGUC